rnacentral:rRNA from 1 species
UAAGGAGUAUUGGACAAUGGAGGCAACUCUGAUCCAGCCAUGCCGCGUGAAGGAAUAAGGCCCUAUGGGUUGUAAACUUCUUUUAGACGGGACAAAACCCCUUUACGUGUAAAGGGUUGAUGGUACUGUCAGAAUAAGCAUCGGCUAACUUCGUGCCAGCAGCCGCGGUAAUACGAAGGAUGCACGCGUUAUCCGGAAUUAUUGGGUUUAAAGGGUGCGUAGGCGGACUAAUAAGACAGUGGUGAAAGCCUGCAGCUUAACUGCAGAAUUGCCAUUGAUACUGUUAGUCUUGAGUACAGUUGAGGUCGGCGGAAGGUGUCAUGUAGCGGUGAAAUGCUUAGAUAUGACACAGAACACCGAUUGCGAAGGCAGCUUGCUAAGCUGUAGCUGACGCUGAGGCACGAAAGCGUGGGGAGCAAACA